GAGUAGGGCGGGACACGUGGUAUCCUGUCUGAAUAUGGGGGGACCAUCCUCCAAGGCUAAAUACUCCUGACUGACCGAUAGUGAACCAGUACCGUGAGGGAAAGGCGAAAAGAACCCCGGCGAGGGGAGUGAAAAAGAACCUGAAACCGUGUACGUACAAGCAGUGGGAGCACGCUUAGGCGUGUGACUGCGUACCUUUUGUAUAAUGGGUCAGCGACUUAUAUUCUGUAGCAAGGUUAACCGAAUAGGGGAGCCGAAGGGAAACCGAGUCUUAACUGGGCGUUAAGUUGCAGGGUAUAGACCCGAAACCCGGUGAUCUAGCCAUGGGCAGGUUGAAGGUUGGGUAACACUAACUGGAGGACCGAACCGACUAAUGUUGAAAAAUUAGCGGAUGACUUGUGGCUGGGGGUGAAAGGCCAAUCAAACCGGGAGAUAGCUGGUUCUCCCCGAAAGCUAUUUAGGUAGCGCCUCGUGAAUUCAUCUCCGGGGGUAGAGCACUGUUUCGGCAAGGGGGUCAUCCCGACUUACCAACCCGAUGCAAACUGCGAAUACCGGAGAAUGUUAUCACGGGAGACACACGGCGGGUGCUAACGUCCGUCGUGAAGAGGGAAACAACCCAGACCGCCAGCUAAGGUCCCAAAGUCAUGGUUAAGUGGGAAACGAUGUGGGAAGGCCCAGACAGCCAGGAUGUUGGCUUAGAAGCAGCCAUCAUUUAAAGAAAGCGUAAUAGCUCACUGGUCGAGUCGGCCUGCGCGGAAGAUGUAACGGGGCUAAACCAUGCACCGAAGCUGCGGCAGCGACGCUUAUGCGUUGUUGGGUAGGGGAGCGUUCUGUAAGCCUGCGAAGGUGUGCUGUGAGGCAUGCUGGAGGUAUCAGAAGUGCGAAUGCUGACAUAAGUAACGAUAAAGCGGGUGAAAAGCCCGCUCGCCGGAAGACCAAGGGUUCCUGUCCAACGUUAAUCGGGGCAGGGUGAGUCGACCCCUAAGGCGAGGCCGAAAGGCGUAGUCGAUGGGAAACAGGUUAAUAUUCCUGUACUUGGUGUUACUGCGAAGGGGGGACGGAGAAGGCUAUGUUGGCCGGGCGACGGUUGUCCCGGUUUAAGCGUGUAGGCUGGUUUUCCAGGCAAAUCCGGAAAAUCAAGGCUGAGGCGUGAUGACGAGGCACUACGGUGCUGAAGCAACAAAUGCCCUGCUUCCAGGAAAAGCCUCUAAGCAUCAGGUAACAUCAAAUCGUACCCCAAACCGACACAGGUGGUCAGGUAGAGAAUACCAAGGCGCUUGAGAGAACUCGGGUGAAGGAACUAGGCAAAAUGGUGCCGUAACUUCGGGAGAAGGCACGCUGAUAUGUAGGUGAAGUCCCUUGCGGAUGGAGCUGAAAUCAGUCGAAGAUACCAGCUGGCUGCAACUGUUUAUUAAAAACACAGCACUGUGCAAACACGAAAGUGGACGUAUACGGUGUGACGCCUGCCCGGUGCCGGAAGGUUAAUUGAUGGGGUCAGCGCAAGCGAAGCUCUUGAUCGAAGCCCCGGUAAACGGCGGCCGUAACUAUAACGGUCCUAAGGUAGCGAAAUUCCUUGUCGGGUAAGUUCCGACCUGCACGAAUGGCGUAAUGAUGGCCAGGCUGUCUCCACCCGAGACUCAGUGAAAUUGAACUCGCUGUGAAGAUGCAGUGUACCCGCGGCAAGACGGAAAGACCCCGUGAACCUUUACUAUAGCUUGACACUGAACAUUGAGCCUUGAUGUGUAGGAUAGGUGGGAGGCUUUGAAGUGUGGACGCCAGUCUGCAUGGAGCCGGCCUUGAAAUACCACCCUUUAAUGUUUGAUGUUCUAACGUGGACCCGUGAUCCGGGUUGCGGACAGUGUCUGGUGGGUAGUUUGACUGGGGCGGUCUCCUCCUAAAGAGUAACGGAGGAGCACGAAGGUUGGCUAAUCCUGGUCGGACAUCAGGAGGUUAGUGCAAUGGCAUAAGCCAGCUUGACUGCGAGCGUGACGGCGCGAGCAGGUGCGAAAGCAGGUCAUAGUGAUCCGGUGGUUCUGAAUGGAAGGGCCAUCGCUCAACGGAUAAAAGGUACUCCGGGGAUAACAGGCUGAUACCGCCCAAGAGUUCAUAUCGACGGCGGUGUUUGGCACCUCGAUGUCGGCUCAUCACAUCCUGGGGCUGAAGUAGGUCCCAAGGGUAUGGCUGUUCGCCAUUUAAAGUGGUACGCGAGCUGGGUUUAGAACGUCGUGAGACAGUUCGGUCCCUAUCUGCCGUGGGCGCUGGAGAACUGAGGGGGGCUGCUCCUAGUACGAGAGGACCGGAGUGGACGCAUCACUGGUGUUCGGGUUGUCAUGCCAAUGGCACUGCCCGGUAGCUAAAUGCGGAAGAGAUAAGUGCUGAAAGCAUCUAAGCACGAAACUUGCCCCGAGAUGAGUUCUCCCUGACCCUUUAAGGGUCCUGAAGGAACGUUGAAGACGACGACGUUGAUAGGCCGGGUGUGUAAGCGCAGCGAUGCGUUGAGCUAACCGGUACUAAUGAACCGUGAGG
rnacentral:rRNA from 1 species